UACAGAGGUCUCAAGCGUUGUUCCGAUUCAUUGGGCGUAAAGGGUGCGUAGGUGGCGUGGUAAGUCGGGUGUGAAAUUUCGGAGCUUAACUCCGAAACUGCAUUCGAUACUGCUGUGCUUGAGGACUGGAGAGGAGACUGGAAUUUACGGUGUAGCAGUGAAAUGCGUAGAGAUCGUAAGGAAGACCAGUGGCGAAGGCGGGUCUCUGGACAGUUCCUGACACUGAGGCACGAAGGCCAGGGGAGCAAACGGG
rnacentral:rRNA from 1 species